UGGGGAAUUUUGGACAAUGGGCGAAAGCCUGAUCCAGCAAUGCCGCGUGUGUGAAGAAGGCCUUCGGGUUGUAAAGCACUUUUGUCCGGAAAGAAAUCCUUGGCUCUAAUACAGUCGGGGGAUGACGGUACCGGAAGAAUAAGCACCGGCUAACUACGUGCCAGCAGCCGCGGUAAUACGUAGGGUGCAAGCGUUAAUCGGAAUUACUGGGCGUAAAGCGUGCGCAGGCGGUUUGCUAAGACCGAUGUGAAAUCCCCGGGCUCAACCUGGGAACUGCAUUGGUGACUGGCAGGCUAGAGUAUGGCAGAGGGGGGUAGAAUUCCACGUGUAGCAGUGAAAUGCGUAGAGAUGUGGAGGAAUACCGAUGGCGAAGGCAGCCCCCUGGGCCAAUACUGACGCUCAUGCACGAAAGCGUGGGGAGCAAACAGGAUUAGAUACCCCUGGUAGUCCACGCCCUAAACGAUGUCAACUAGUUGUUGGGGAUUCAUUUCCUUAGUAACGUAGCUAACGCGUGAAGUUGACCGCCUGGGGAGUACGGUCGCAAGAUUAAAACUUAAAUGAAUUGACGGGGUCAUAGCUGUUU
rnacentral:rRNA from 1 species